UAGGGAAUCUUCGGCAAUGGACGGAAGUCUGACCGAGCAACGCCGCGUGAGUGAAGAAGGUUUUCGGAUCGUAAAGCUCUGUUGUUAGAGAAGAACGUUGGUAGGAGCGGAAAAUCUACCAAGUGACGGUAACUAACCAGACAGGGACGGCUAACUACGUGCCAGCAGCCGCGGUAAUACGUAGGUCCCGAGCGUUGUCCGGAUGUAUUGGGCGUAAAGCGAGCGCAGGCGGUUCUUUAAGUCUGAAGUUAAAGGCAGUGGCUUAACCAUUGUACGCUUUGGAAACUGGAGGACUGGAGUGCAGGAGGGGAGAGUGGAAUUCCAAGUGUAGCGGUGAAAUGCGUAGAUAUAUGGAGGAACACAGGUGGCGAAAGCGGCUCUCUGGUCAGUAACUGACGCAAAGGCUCGAAAGCGUGGGGAGCAAACAGG
rnacentral:rRNA from 1 species